CUGGCUCAGGAUGAACGCUAGCGACAGGCUUAACACAUGCAAGUCGAGGGGCAGCAUAAAAGUAGCAAUACUUGGUGGCGACCGGCGCACGGGUGAGUAACGCGUAUGCAACCUACCUAUCAGAGGGGAAUAACCCGGCGAAAGUCGGACUAAUACCGCAUAAAACAGGGGCACCGCAUGGUGAUAUUUGUUAAAGAAAUUCGCUGAUAGAUGGGCAUGCGUUCCAUUAGGUAGUUGGUGAGGUAACGGCUCACCAAGCCGACGAUGGAUAGGGGAACUGAGAGGUUGGUCCCCCACACUGGUACUGAGACACGGACCAGACUCCUACGGGAGGCAGCAGUGAGGAAUAUUGGUCAAUGGGCGGGAGCCUGAACCAGCCAAGUCGCGUGAAGGAAGAAGGAUCUAUGGUUCGUAAACUUCUUUGCAGGGGAAUAAAGUGCAGGACGUGUCCUGUUUUGUAUGUACCCUGAGAAUAAGGAUCGGCUAACUCCGUGCCAGCCGCAGC
rnacentral:rRNA from 1 species